rnacentral:rRNA from 1 species
AGGGUGUAAACGCUGCAGACUUGGUGUUGGAAAUCCUUCGAGGGCAUUCAGUGCCGGAGAGAAGUUGUUAAGUCUGCUACUUGGGGAGUACGUCCGCAAGGAUGAAACUUAAAGGAAUUGGCGGGGGAGCACCGCAACGGGAGGAGCGUGCGGUUUAAUUGGAUUCAACACCGGAAAACUCACCAGGGGAGACUGUUACAUGAAACCCAGACUAAUGAUCUUGGUUGAUUUUCAGAGAGGAGGUGCAUGGCGUCAGUGACU